GCGGAGAGGCUGCUGGACGGCGGGCGGGGCUGGGGAGGAAGGGGAGGCAGCGACGAUGCGGAGCUGCGGUUGAGCCCCUCCUGCGGACGGAGGGGAGCGGGCAAUAUGCGGCCGGGCUCGUAGGGCACCUGCUGAGCUCUCACCCAGCAAAGUUUCCCAGGGUUUGGGGAGAAGGAGGAAGGCGAUAUGGGAGAACCUGCUGCCCCCAUCCCGGCCCCGCCGGGACCCGCUGUGGCUUCGGUGCUGCUGUCUGAAGGCUGAACGGGACCCCCGAGGAACCUCCAGACUCUCCCCCAGCUUAGGAGGAGCCGCAUCCUUCAGCAUUGCCCAUCCCUGUCAGCUCCAGGUGAUGUCUCACUGAGCAGGAACUUCACUUGAAAGUUCACUGCUGUGCUUCUAUUCAGCUUCAAACAAAAGCCUGAGCAGGGGCAAUGAGAUACAACACUGGAGACAGCAGCAGAGAGCUCGGCCUCAGCUGGAGGGAUUUCAAAGGAGCAGAAGACCAGAAAUAGCCUUCUCAGCAUUGUAUGUACCCUGUAAGGACUGAAGUGACCUCCAAGACUCACCUCAACAUGUUCAGUGAAAAGAGCAGCGCCUCUCUGACCCAGAAACCCAGCCAGAAAAAGACACGACCUCAGGGCCUCCCCUCCCCUGCCCUCUGCUGUGCGUGUGGACUUUGCAUCAUGCUGGC